rnacentral:rRNA from 1 species
UACGUAGGUGGCAAGCGUUGUCCGGAAUUAUUGGGCGUAAGGCGCGCGCAGGCGGUUUCUUAAGUCUGAUGUGAAAGCCCACGGCUCAACCGUGGAGGGUCAUUGGAAACUGGGAAACUUGAGUGCAGAAGAGAAGAGCGGAAUUCCACGUGUAGCGGUGAAAUGCGUAGAGAUGUGGAGGAACACCAGUGGCGAAGGCGGCUCUUUGGUCUGUAACUGACGCUGAGGCGCGAAAGCGUGGGUAGCAAACAGG